GGUUGACCUCGGAUCAGGUAGGGAUACCCGCUGAACUUAAGCAUAUCAGUAAACGGAGGAA
rnacentral:rRNA from 1 species